GAUGAACGCUGGCGGCGUGCCUAAUACAUGCAAGUCGAGCGAACAGACGAGGAGCUUGCUCCUCUGACGUUAGCGGCGGACGGGUGAGUAACACGUGGAUAACCUACCUAUAAGACUGGGAUAACUUCGGGAAACCGGAGCUAAUACCGGAUAAUAUAUUGAACCGCAUGGUUCAAUAGUGAAAGACGGUUUUGCUGUCACUUAUAGAUGGAUCCGCGCCGCAUUAGCUAGUUGGUAAGGUAACGGCUUACCAAGGCAACGAUGCGUAGCCGACCUGAGAGGGUGAUCGGCCACACUGGAACUGAGACACGGUCCAGACUCCUACGGGAGGCAGCAGUAGGGAAUCUUCCGCAAAGGGCGAAAGCCUGACGGAGCAACGCGGCGUGAGUGAUGAAGGUCUUCGGAUCGUAAAACUCUGUUAUUAGGGAAGAACAAAUGUGUAAGUAACUAUGCACGUCUUGACGGUACCUAAUCAGAAAGCCACGGCUAACUACGUG
rnacentral:rRNA from 1 species